rnacentral:tRNA from 1 species
GCGGGUAUAGUUUAAUGGUAGAACUCCAGCCUUCCAAGCUGAUCAUGCGGGUUCGAUUCCCGCUACCCGCUCCA